GACGAACGCUGGCGGCGUGCCUAAUACAUGCAAGUUGAGCGAUGAAGCUUGGUGCUUGCACCAAUUUGAAGAGCAGCGAACGGGUGAGUAACGCGUGGGGAAUCUGCCUUUGAGCGGGGGACAACAUUUGGAAACGAAUGCUAAUACCGCAUAACAACUUUAAACAUAAGUUUUAAGUUUGAAAGAUGCAAUUGCAUCACUCAAAGAUGAUCCCGCGUUGUAUUAGCUAGUUGGUGAGGUAAAGGCUCACCAAGGCGAUGAUACAUAGCCGACCUGAGAGGGUGAGCGGCCACAUUGGGACUGAGACACGGCCCAAACUCCUACGGGAGGCAGCAGUAGGGAAUCUUCGGCAAUGGACGAAAGACUGACCGAGAAACGCCGCGUGAGUGAAGAAGGUUUUCGGAUCGUAAAACUCUGUUGGUAGAGAAGAACGUUGGUGAGAGUGGAAAGCUCAUCAAGUGACGGUAACUACCCAGAAAGGGACGGCUAACUACGUG
rnacentral:rRNA from 1 species